rnacentral:rRNA from 1 species
GAUGAACGCUGGCGGCGUGCCUAAUACGUGCAAGUCGAGCGAAUGGAUUAAGAGCUUGCUCUUAUGAAGUUAGCGGCGGACGGGUGAGUAACACGUGGGUAACCUGCCCAUAAGACUGGGAUAACUCCGGGAAACCGGGGCUAAUACCGGAUAACAUUUUGAACCGCAUGGUUCGAAAUUGAAAGGCGGCUUCGGCUGUCACUUAUGGAUGGACCCGCGUCGCAUUAGCUAGUUGGUGAGGUAACGGCUCACAAAGGCAACGAUGCGUAGCCGACCUGAGAGGGUGGUCGGCCACACUGGGACUGGGACACGGCCCAGACUCCUACGGGAGGCAGCAGUAGGGAAUCUUCCGCAAUGGACGAAAGUCUGACGGAGCAACGCCGCGUGAGUGAUGAAGGCUUUCGGGUCGUAAAACUCUGUUGUUAGGGAAGAACAAGUGCUAGUUGAAUAAGCUGGCACCUUGACGGUACCUAACCAGAAAGCCACGGCUAACUACGUGCCAGCAGCCGCAGUAA